rnacentral:misc_RNA from 1 species
UCUAGUUGUUUUCUUUCUUCGGUCAACACUGGUCAACACUUAGAGCACUCAGUUGUUGAGCUGAACCGAUUUAAUAUUUUUGGAAUUGUUCCAAAAUUAUAAAAACCGCGUUUGUUUGUGUGCAUACUGCAGUUCAUAUCCUUGUUUAUUCUUGAUUUUCUUUGUCUUAACGAGUGCGCUUGCGUUGUUUUCAUAAAAUUCCGAUGUGAGUGCAUUGACAAGUGAUAUUCUUUUAAAUAGGGUAUUUUGUAAAAAUGGGUUCCUUAAAUCCCGAAAAUACAUCAAAACAGGAUCUGGACGACAGCGGAUGCGUUCAGGAUGCGUCGGUGACCGAGAACAGCUACAAGGGCCUGGUGCAACUCCUGGACCUGUCUGAUGAUGUCCUGCUCUACAUCCUCAAGUACUGUUCGCCGAUGGACCUCAAGGCUUUGGGAUACACCUGUCCCCGUCUCGGCGCGCUAAUAUGCGAUCGUACUCUUUGGACGCGAGUAGACGCGAGGACGGUUCCCGUCGGGCAGAUGCGGCUCCACUGGUUUCUGAAGCACUGCCUCUCUGCGGCCACUACUGAACUGCUGCUCACUGGAUACGCUAAUAGACAUAGCAGAUGUCUGGGCAUACAGGACUUGCAUUCGCCCGUAGAGGCAGAAUCCGGGGCGGUUCGCGGAACAUAUAUAGAGCAUUUUCUACUUCGUAUGUGGUACCCGCAUCUACCACGGAGAGAUAUUAUUUUGGCUAAUCUCGCCGAGCAAAGCUACAGGCGAUACCAAGCUUUCGCAGUGACACCCCGCUGGCCGGAUAAAGAGGAAGCCGAAAUCAAAGCUCCCCAAAAAGCAUCGGAAGCCACGACUUCCAAUUCUGGGGAGUCGUCAACGUCUAACUCGGGCAAUGCGAGCAAUUCCGGCAAUCCAAGCAGCUCGAGUAAUCCGAGCAACUCGAGUAAUGCGAGCAACUCGAGUAAUCCGAGCAAUUCGAGUAAUCCGAGCAAUUCGAGUAACCCGAGCAAUUCGAGUAAUUCGAGCAAUUCGGGACCAAAGAAAGAUGCGAAGGGUUUUCCGGUUUUCGAUGAUGAUCGAGGUAAUUGCAAAGGCCCCCAGUUUACUCUGACGUCUGCUCUGUUGCGGGAUCUGAGGAGAAAAUGUCCGCAUCUCACUUCGCUCGCUUUGGAGUAUUUUAAUAUUGAUUGCAAGAUGACGACUAUACGCCAGUUGCCUCGGAAUCUUACGAAGCUAUCUCUUCGCGGCACUAGAUGUUACAAUCUGCCGCUCAACACGUCUUUCCUAGGCAAGGUGCAGGAUCACCUGCCACAUUUGCAGUACCUAGACGUAUCAGAGUGCGAAUGGUUCGAACCAGCGUCUUUGAUGCCACUCAGCAAGUUGCCGGCCCUAGAACAACUGUACAUGCGCGACUGUAAGCGGCUGACGGAAUGCGUGGCUUAUGCUUCGCUCGCCACUAGAUACGGCUUCCGGCACCUGAGGAUCAUAGACGUCCGCGGUUCCCCCCUCGCGGACUCGGAGAUAUCAGCGCUGGGCUGGUUGCCUGUCCUCGAGGAGUUGUACUGCGCGCCGCCCGACGACAAGCACGCCACGCCCGAACACACGCACUCGUGGAGCGACACCACUGCACCGCAACACGACCUCGACACCUGGGAGAUUGAGGCACCGGACUACUACAGAGUGAAGACGCCGGAACCGGAAGCGACGGACGAGGAUGACGAACAGAAUUACGAACCGGAGCCGCUCGACCCGCCGCCGGAGCGCCCCGGAGACAUACUCAUGGGGAACCCCUGGUGGUCGCAUGAGAGACGCAUCAUCGUUAUCCAGCCCAAUCGUCAGGCGGAAGAGAAUCGUCAGGCCGCGGAUAUUGCACCCGAGCGGGCCCCCAUACCUGCUCAGAUUGCACCCGUCAUUCAACAGGUGCCCGUCGCCCAGCGCGUCGGCCAGGCCGCUCAGAGAGCUGUUGCUCAAGGGGCCCCUCGUCCUCUCCCUCAGCCUAUUCCUCAAGAGGGCUUAGCUGCACAAGGCCCCGCUCCAUUCGUACUCGGAGAUGUGCAUAUUGUACCCAUACCGCGUCCAGUGCCGCCCGCCGAGCCCGCAGCGCAGUUUCACGCACAUCGGGUCGAUCCGGAGCUAGCCCGAGCGUUUGAUGCGACGCUAGAUGAGUAUGGAGCCAUGGCUGUAGAACAGGGCCUUAUUCGGCCGGGCCCCGCGAACCCACAGCCGGGCCCCGCGAACCCACAACCAGGCCCCGCGAACGCACAAGGGGGUGCCGAACAGCCAGGCCCCGCGAACCCGCAAGCGGGUGCGGAAGAAGCAGGCCCCUCCAAACGCCGCGCCAACCCCGAAGACCCCCUCGAUUUGGCUAAAAGGCGCCGUCUAGACGACGAUGAUGAUGAUGAUGACGAAGAAAUGCCGGCGCAACGCGUGCAAUGCGUCAUAAGCGCUGAACAAUGCCCCCGUUUGAGGGACAGGGGGAUGGUCACCGAUCCCCCAAUCAUCCCCGUCUUAGGAAACAGGGCCCGCGUGCAAAUUCGUCACAACAACCCUUUUAUGCACGUUGAUUUGGAGACUCAGCGCCAAUCAACCAUUCAUAUAGGCAACCACAUUGGGUACCACCUCAUCAGUGAUUCAGCCAUCCUCCGGUUCGGCCGCGCAGAGAAUGAUAAUAUCAACUACGUGCAUAUAGGCCGGAAUGGCAUCCACGACGGAGUUGAACCGGGUAUGCGCCCCGACCGGUCCAAUUUGAGGAUUCUAUCUGUGACCGGGUACAGGAGUGUGACGGACCGUAGUUUGCAGCACUUAGCUACGGCGGCCCCGAACUUGGUUUCUGUAGAUUUCUCAGACACGAGUGUCAGUUCUGAGGGCGUGGCGGUAUUCAAGGCUCACCGACCAAAUUGCGAAGUUAUUUUCAAUGAGUGGGGUAGGAUAUAUAAAUAGGAGUACAGUCGCUGGUUCUGCUACAUGCGUGAUAUACCGUAUUAUAGCGAAAUAAAAAAAAUUAAUGAUUAUUUAUAGGUUUGCGUGGUUCGUGAUUUACUUUUUUUUUUGGUUGUUAUGGAUCUCUCUGGUUUAUAUCGAAUAAUUUAGGGUUGUUUAAACAGUGAGAAAUUCAACCCGAAUAUAAUAUAUUACAAUUAUUUUAUAACUCGAAUUAUAAAAAGUUCUGUUUACGGUUUUGUAAUACCGAACACAAUUUUUUUGUUAAUCUAAUUUAAGUUAGUUGAAAUACCGGUAUUUUUUAAUAAAUGUUACGGUUUUUCCAACCCCUUUUUUCUUUGGAUAUAAUACAUGUCUAGGAUAUGAAAGUAGCAGCCCAGCGCCUGUAACUACAACUUCCUGUAAACGGGAAAAUUAGUCUAAUGAUAAUUAAUAUGAUUAGUGGUAUAGAACUGCCGAGUUUCAAAUUAUAUUCAGCAGUUUUGCGUGAAUGAAUACCAAACAUUCAUUCUUAUAAAUGUUCAAGUUAUAUGAAGACUUUGGUGGAAAACAUAAAUAAAUAUAAUAUUUAAAUAAUAAGGAAAGAUUUGCUUCUCGAAUUCUAGAUUCGAUAGCCUUAAUUUGCAAUAUUUAAUAAAAAUAUAAUAUUGUUUCAGUACUAUAGUUUUUCGAAAAAUAAUUGUAAAUAAUAUGCAAUGUAAGGUCUUAUAGGAAGUAAAUAUUGUAGAGCCUUAUUAAUAAGGCAAAAAAUAAGUUUUGAAUGAUAGCGACUGCAUGAAUAUCCGAGGGCUACUGCACUUUCUGCUGCCGUCUCGAUCCAAAACGGUUUCAUGUAAACACAUAUAAACUAAUAGGCAGUUGGCAUUCAAAACACGUAGUGAAAAUGUUUCAAAAUUAUCAAAAAACUUAUGUUUAUUUACUCGCACAAAUAUCUUUUAGUUUUUUUUUAAAUACAGCUUCUUAAUAUCAUAGUUUAAAAAUACUUUAAAAGGGUAACUAAUAUAUGUAAUUUUUAAUGUAAUUCGAAUGUCUAUUUAAAGAAUUUAGCUAUAAUAUAUAGCAAAUAUUUAAAAUAUAUAAACGUAGAUUUUAGCUAAAUAAGUUAGGUUUGAAUUUCAAGUAAAUAUACAUGUGAAAUCCUGGGGUUUCUCCCCUGGAAUUAAAAUAAUUAAAAAACGCGUAUACUUAGGUACUACAUAAAAUCGUGUCAAAAGUCAGAAAAUAUCUAGCGGAGAUGUCAUAACGCAAAAUCUCCUAAGAAAGUAGCGACAACAACGGGGCGAGGGGGACGAGGAAUGUUACUAGCUCCGCCCUUAAACGUACUCAUAAUUUUCGAAAUAAAAUCACCAAUCAAUCAAGACCAAUCUUUGACAGAUUGCUCCAAGGAACCGGAACGUCUCGUUAGUUCUAGUAACUGAUCGCGCCUACCGUACGUUGCUUGACCUACAAGAAGGAGCCUGGCCUACCUUCCUUAUGGCAUCUCCGCUAUUUUUCCUACCUCCGUGGUCAAGAUUGAAUAUGAAAUUCGUAAAUCUAAGGUUCAAAAUUGUUUUCUAAAUACAAUUAAUUCUAAAUGUCUGAAAAAAAUACAGUUUAUAAUUUCUAUAAUCGAUCUUUCGUUUAAUUUGCGACAAAGAUUGGUUAUAGAAAUUCGCAGUUAGAUAGAAACAGUGUACAGUUUUUAGACUUAUAAAAACUGAUUUCUGUUUUUUUUUCCUAAAUUAUAUAUAUUUUUUUGUUCAAUUUUUGAUGAUUGUGUUAAGUGAGCAGUUUUGCCAUCAUGUGAUUAUGCUUUAUGAAUUAAAAAAAAAGAAUUAUGUCAAAUGUUUUGAUUUAAAUAAAUUUAUAUUAUAUAGGUUUAAAGAAAUACACAAAUACAAACCGCCAGUGGAAGUAGUAUAAUUCUGUAACUAUUAAAAACGUCUGUGUAUUUAAAUUCAUAUAUCUAUAUAUAGUGUGUAUUUCAAUUAAAAUUGGUAAAAGACUGUUUAAAAAUAUAUGUAUUGUCCCGACUUCACUCUUGUGAGAUGCUUCCGAAACUACGUAAGUAACUCUUGUCAAAGAAAUUCCUGUAAAAGGCCCGGUUGUUCGUACGUUACGGUAAAGUUAAAGUUAAAAUUUGACCGAUGUCAGUUUUGACCACGGUUAAUUUGACGUUUUUAUUAUGAAAUUUUAACGUUCGUAAAACUAACUGUUACUUCAACAACGCUUUUUGAAUUUAAACCCUGUUAAUUUUACUGUAACUAGAAUUUAACCCUAACCUUGACGUAACUGAGCUUCGAACAACCGGGCCUACGCGACUUACGGAGUUUUACAGAGCUAAACUGCAAGCGUGAGGCCGGCUUUAAGGAAACUGAAAUGUCGGUUUUCGUGGAAAAGAGGUAUGUGGCUCUGGGUAAUUAUUUGGCAGAUAUCCGAAUAUUAUAUACUUUGUGAAUAUGGCUAGAAUUCUAGAACUGUGUCAUAUUUGACAAAAAAAAUGGUAAAAAUGAACGUCGAAAGUUCUAGAAUAAAGCCCAAAGAGUAAUCUUAGUAUUGCCAUGUUAUUUAUUGAUUUAUCUUUAAUUAUAGGUUUUUUCUGAUUUUCUCGGAUCUCGAUUAAGUAAAUUAUUAGGUUAAGGUAUUGAAACUUUUACCCGACUUUACAGAUGUAAGUUGCUUUCGUGACAAUUACGUAAGUAAUUUCCUUGAGAAGUUCUAAAAAAGUACUGUAAGCGACAUCUACUUGCUUAUAAUCAUCGGCACGAUCUUGAGCGCUGACCUUCACUUGCGCAGAAGUAAUUUAUUGGGUCCCUUGUGUGGUAUGAAGUGAGUCGCGGGGGCGGGCUAAAGCGGUGAUUGUCCCGCAGCGCAUCGCGUCAUAGCCAUCACUCGGGAUUGGUUCUUUGCUAAUAAAUCACUUCUGCGCAGGUGAAGGUCAGCGCUAGAGAUUCGUGCCGAUGAUUAUAUAAUUAUAACCGACUUCCCAAAAAGGAGGAGGUUGAAAAUUUUGAUAUUUGUAUGUUUUUUUUCUGCUUGGACGCCCAUAUCUCGCUCGAUUACCGAGCGAUUUAAAAAUCGAUAAGAUAGAAUCGAUUAGAAGCGAUUUAAAAACUUGACGAUUCUUGUUAUACAAGAAUUAAAAAAAAAACGUUUUGUGUUUGCAAUAUGUUAUUUUAAGUUCAAAAUUGUGGUUUUCCUGAACUGAUUUCGUCAAACUGAAAGAGAAUUGAGAUGAAUAUAUUUUUUGUUACUUUAUUUUUAAUAUUAGUUUUUAUUGUGUUUGCGGAUGGCGCUUUAAAAGCAUUUUUGUCAACACUUGAAAUGAUACUUUUUCACACCAGCUGAUUCCCUUCGACCGGCUACGUAUAUAAUAAUUAUUUUUCUUGCUACGUAGAAAAAAAUACUUUUCUUGGUUCCGUAGACGGCCGAAGGGAAGUGAUUUAGUCAAAAGAAAGCGCUACUUAUCUACUUAUGUGAACGAAUUUGUAUAAUAUUACUAAGCAGAGAAAUUGCAAAAAUAUCUAUAAUAGCCUUAAAAAGGUAAUUUUGUAAGAUUACCUUUUUAAGGCUGCCUGUCCACCGGAGCGGAGCUAGGAUGCGGAGUGAAGAAACUGAGAAAUAUUAACUAAUAGGAUAGCACAAAAUCUCCGCUCCUCAAUCCUAUUGGUUAAUAUUUCUCAGUUUCUCCACUCCGCAGCCUAGCUCAGCUCCGGUGGACAGGCAGCCUAAGAGGUGUAAUUAGUAAAAGAAUUACCAUUCGCUCUAUGUAAAAUAGGCACCACCUUGAAAAGACUAGUGCCUAAGUUUACCGACAAAGUAAACGUCAGUUUUUCACCGACUUCCCAAAAAGGAGGAGGUUCUCAAUUCGUCGAGAUCUUAGUUUUUUUUUUCUUAUGUAUGUUCACCGAUUACUCGAAGACAGAUAGGGUAUAGUUCCCGGGUGGUCCCAUAGUCAUCAGGUCAGGAUCUGAUGAUGGAAACCCGGAAGAAGUCAGUGGCGAAUUAAACAUAAUUGCGUCUACGAGACACUGACAUCUAGGCACCUUUUUUUAACGAUGGCAAAAAUCGUCAUAUGAACCCUCCCGCUGUGGGUUACGCGCGGUGAGGGAGUGUCAGACUCUUACUGACUAAACACCGUCGUGUUCCGUCGUAGGC